AAGAAAGAAACCCUCAUUUCCCGAUGGAAAGACAAUGUAAGCCCAAAGCAUGCAUUCAAAUGCAGAGUUCAGUGAAAAACACACCACAGCUGCCAGCAACUCAACUGGUUUAGCUUCUAAAAGGCAGCUAAGAUACAUAGCUCACAGAAGCAAUUGUGGAAGCGAACGAUGUUCCAAAGAAGAAUGUGGAAAACCAGGAAGAAUAAAAGGAAAACUAGGAAGAUGUAUAAUUCAGUUCUGAAUGUGAAGAGGAGCAAUGUGACAGAUUAUAUCACCCCAUUAACCUUCUAUUUAAAGGUUUAUUAGUGGCACAAAAUAUCAUAUGUAUGUAAGAAAGCUGGGCCUCUUGGAUUGUCAGCAGUACCAGCAUAUUAAAAACUAACUGAUAUAUUGUUGCAUAAGAAUUCGUGACCCAGAAAACACUCCAUAAAAUAUAAUCCUCUCUUGGUUCACAUGUGUAUGUGCAUAUACAGAUAUAGUGUAGUGUCAGAAUGCAAAUGGAGAGAAAUAUGGUUCCCUUUGGCUUGUUUUUCACGUAAAAACAACCUCAUUUGCAGCAUAUCUUGUUUUGCUGGUACAGAGGUGAGAAAUUAGCAAGAGUGCUGUAACCCUCCUGGUAGCUUGUAUGCGUGUGUGUUUGUGAUUUGGUACAUUUGCUCAUGCCUGAGAAGAUCUUUCCUAAGCAAGAAAAGACGUUGAGAAAGGUAUAUUCCCUCUGCUUCCCAAGUUAGUUGCCUUCUGUCCUUAAUUCACAUUCUUUGUUACCUACUGUACUCCCCUUCCCUUCUGCUUCUAUUUAAAACUACAUUUUAGUUAAGGAAACUCUUCUAUGAGUGGAAAAGAGAGAUUGUGGCUAAUUCAUUUUGGGGAGAAAAUUGAUAGUGUAUGUGGAGCAGCAAUUGAUGGGAUUCAAUUGUGGAAAUAACAGGGUAAGAGUUCAUUGAAUUGAGGGGCCUAAGGUACCACCCUUCCCCAGAUGCAAAAGUGUUUGGAACUUAGCCUUAUCUUCCCACAGAAUUCUGCCCACACAUGCUUAGCAACCAAAUUCUGAUUGGCCAAGAAAAUACUCAUGCAACAUGCCUUGCCAAGUCUCUCUCCUUCUAAUUCCUUGUUCACUUAAUCAACUGCUUUGUUGCUUGGUGUUAAGCCUGAGAGGCAGGAGACACUUUCACUUUAUUUUUGUUUGGAAUUAGAGCUAACUCUUGGUCUCUGUCUGAGAAAAAAAUCUUGUGUCCCUGUGUUAGUCACAGUUAUUCUUUCUCCUCAAUNCAUGUCAAGUGUUUACAUAUUACCAAGCAUCUCUUUGCCAGUAAUUACAAGUUGAGUCACCACUUACCAUUUGACUAAUUCACCCCAAAUUGAAUGUGUGUCAUGGUUGGCAUUUGCUUAUUAUCUUUCUUUUGUAAUAAAGUUAUUUCUUGU
rnacentral:lncRNA from 1 species